rnacentral:rRNA from 1 species
GAUGAACGCUGGCGGCGUGCCUAAUACAUGCAAGUCGAGCGAACAGACGAGGAGCUUGCUCCUCUGACGUUAGCGGCGGACGGGUGAGUAACACGUGGAUAACCUACCUAUAAUACUGGGAUAACUUCGGGAAACCGGAGCUAAUACCGGAUAAUAUAUUGAACCGCAUGGUUCAAUAGUGAAAGACGGUUUUGCUGUCACUUAUAGAUGGAUCCGCGCCGCAUUAGCUAGUUGGUAAGUUAACGGCCUACCAAGGCAACGAUGCGUAGCCGACCUGAGAGGGUGGUCGGCCACACUGGAACUGAGACACGGUCCAGAAUCCUACGGGAGGCAGCAGUAGGGAAUCUUCCGCAAAGGGCGAAAGCCUGACGGAGCAACGCCGCGUGAGUGAUGAAGGUCUUCGGAUCGUAAAACUCUGUUAUUAGGGAAGAACAAAUGUGUAAGUAACUAUGCACGUCUUGACGGUACCUAAUCAGAAAGCCACGGCUAACUACGUG